rnacentral:tRNA from 1 species
GGCAGCGUGGCACAGUGGUUUGAGUGUUGGACUAUGACUCUAGACAUCCGGGUUUGAUUCCCUGCUCGGCCA